UUGUGUCCGUCUUGCAAAUUAUGAAUCGAAUAAUUAUCGUCCACAGGUCUGGCAAGUCACGCCAGUUAUUGAGCUGAAAAUUUGUUAACAGGUAUAAGUUUAUCUCCUCUUAUGCCUGAUGAGGAUAACAACUUUGGUAACUCUUUAGGUUUGUAUUUUAGAAAAUGAUGACGUCACGUGCAACCCAAGAAUACGAUGACAUCGUUUUGUUUUUUUUUGUAUCGUAAAUUAAUCAUUUACGAUGGCAGCAGAGGAAAUCAUCAAGGACAAGACAGCUUGCCUUAUGCAUCAGGGCUCAAGUUAGAAACGCCCGUGGAUGGAUCGAUGCGCGUGCAAACCAGAUCUCGAGUUAGCUGUAGCUCCAUGCACUUUUAAGCAAACAUCUCAAUUUGUUUCGAUAUUUGUUUUAGAUUGACUCGAGGAUAUUCGAAAAAAAUGCUCCAACUGGUUGUAACCUAUGUCAAACCCAUGACCCCCUAAAAUGGUGG